UCAUUAAAUGGCAGAAUAGUGCAUGGAUUUAAACCCCAUUUAUAAAGUCAGACUUUUUUUAGAA
rnacentral:tRNA from 1 species